AAUAGCGUAUUCGUUUGACGUUAGCGACAGAAGAAAGCACCGGCUAACUCCGUGCCAGCAGCCGCGGUAAUACGGAGGGUGCGAGCGUUAAUCGGAAUUACUGGGCGUAAAGCGCAUGCAGGUGGUUUGUUAAGUCAGAUGUGAAAGACCCGGGGCGUCAACCUACGGAAUAGCAUUUGUAAACUAGGCAGACUAGAGUACUGUAGAGGGGGGUAGGAAUUUCAGGUGUAGCGGUGAAAUAGCGUAGAGAUCUGAAGGAAUACCGGUGGCGAAGGCGGCCCCCUCGGACAGAUACUGACACUCAGAUGCGAAAGCGUGGGGAGCAAACAGGAUUAGAUACCCUGGUAG
rnacentral:rRNA from 1 species